AAAUUGAAGAGUUUGAUCAUGGCUCAGAUUGAACGCUGGCGGCAGGCCUAACACAUGCAAGUCGAACGGUAACAGGAAGCAGCUUGCUGCUUUGCUGACGAGUGGCGGACGGGUGAGUAAUGUCUGGGAAACUGCCUGAUGGAGGGGGAUAACUACUGGAAACGGUAGCUAAUACCGCAUAAUGUCGCAAGACCAAAGAGGGGGACCUUCGGGCCUCUUGCCAUCGGAUGUGCCCAGAUGGGAUUAGCUGGUAGGUGGGGUAACGGCUCACCUAGGCGACGAUCCCUAGCUGGUCUGAGAGGAUGACCAGCCACACUGGAACUGAGACACGGUCCAGACUCCUACGGGAGGCAGCAGUGGGGAAUAUUGCACAAUGGGCGCAAGCCUGAUGCAGCCAUGCCGCGUGUAUGAAGAAGGCCUUCGGGUUGUAAAGUACUUUCAGCGGGGAGGAAGGGAGUAAAGUUAAUACCUUUGCUCAUUGACGUUACCCGCAGAAGAAGCACCGGCUAACUCCGUGCCAGCAGCCGCGGUAAUACGGAGGGUGCAAGCGUUAAUCGGAAUUACUGGGCGUAAAGCGCACGCAGGCGGUUUGUUAAGUCAGAUGUGAAAUCCCCGGGCUCAACCUGGGAACUGCAUCUGAUACUGGCAAGCUUGAGUCUCGUAGAGGGGGGUAGAAUUCCAGGUGUAGCGGUGAAAUGCGUAGAGAUCUGGAGGAAUACCGGUGGCGAAGGCGGCCCCCUGGACGAAGACUGACGCUCAGGUGCGAAAGCGUGGGGAGCAAACAGGAUUAGAUACCCUGGUAGUCCACGCCGUAAACGAUGUCGACUUGGAGGUUGUGCCCUUGAGGCGUGGCUUCCGGAGCUAACGCGUUAAGUCGACCGCCUGGGGAGUACGGCCGCAAGGUUAAAACUCAAAUGAAUUGACGGGGGCCCGCACAAGCGGUGGAGCAUGUGGUUUAAUUCGAUGCAACGCGAAGAACCUUACCUGGUCUUGACAUCCACGGAAGUUUUCAGAGAUGAGAAUGUGCCUUCGGGAACCGUGAGACAGGUGCUGCAUGGCUGUCGUCAGCUCGUGUUGUGAAAUGUUGGGUUAAGUCCCGCAACGAGCGCAACCCUUAUCCUUUGUUGCCAGCGGUCCGGCCGGGAACUCAAAGGAGACUGCCAGUGAUAAACUGGAGGAAGGUGGGGAUGACGUCAAGUCAUCAUGGCCCUUACGACCAGGGCUACACACGUGCUACAAUGGCGCAUACAAAGAGAAGCGACCUCGCGAGAGCAAGCGGACCUCAUAAAGUGCGUCGUAGUCCGGAUUGGAGUCUGCAACUCGACUCCAUGAAGUCGGAAUCGCUAGUAAUCGUGGAUCAGAAUGCCACGGUGAAUACGUUCCCGGGCCUUGUACACACCGCCCGUCACACCAUGGGAGUGGGUUGCAAAAGAAGUAGGUAGCUUAACCUUCGGGAGGGCGCUUACCACUUUGUGAUUCAUGACUGGGGUGAAGUCGUAACAAGGUAACCGUAGGGGAACCUGCGGUUGGAUCACCUCCUUACCUUAAAGAAGC
rnacentral:rRNA from 2 species